UUUUUUUUCAAAAAGGAUCAUGCAGCCUUUGUCAUGCGUUUCACGUGUCUUAAAUUGUAUAUAGUUUUGUGUGAUGAUUUUGGCACAGCCUGUUUUUUGAUUUUGAUAUUGUUUUGCAGAUAUACUUUCUGCUAAGGCAUUCGGGCCGGUAUAUUGUUUGAGAGAAUUUCAAUGGCUUUUGACGAUUAUCAAAGUGGCUGUUUCCUGGAUACAUCUUUGAGAAGCCAUUAGUUGUCAAUGUCAGGAAUUACUGUAAGACGUUUCUACAAAGUCUUCUGUAUGUCUUCGUGCUGCCAGGAUAUACAACCACCUGAUUGGUCUGACUCGAUGUCCUUAACGAGCUACGUCUGUCCCAAGUGCAACGCAGGAUUUCGCAGGAUGUGGGAUCUGAUUAGACACAAGUGUGGUCAAACUCCAAGAUACGCGUGUCCUUACUGCCACAAGAAGGAUAAUUCUUCCUCGAAUAUUUAUCGACACAUACGUAGAUGGCAUCCAAAAAUGCCUGUCGGCGUGAAUAAGAUGUUUUAAUGAGAAAUAUUCAAGAAAAAUAAAAAUCGUGCCAGAAACAGGAUUUACCCGUAUCCUUGUAACUAUCCAGGUACCCCUAAAACUGCAUACAACAAGAAACUUCAUAUCCUUUUCAAGAAUUAUCAAAUACUAUACUGUCACAAGAGUUCUCAAGGAACGCGAUAAUGACGAUGAACGUGAUAAAGGAUGAAAAUUAAUUUA